rnacentral:rRNA from 1 species
GACGUAGGGCGCGAGCGUUGUCCGGAUUUAUUGGGCGUAAAGAGCUCGUAGGCGGCUUGUCGCGUCGGCUGUGAAAACCCGCGGCUCAACUGUGGGCGGGCAGCUGAUACGGGCAGGCUGGAGUUCGGUAGGGGAGACUGGAAUUCCUGGUGUAGCGGUGAAAUGCGCAGAUAUCAGGAGGAACACCGGUGGCGAAGGCGGCAUCCUGGACCGACACUGACGCUGAGGAGCGAAAGCCAGGGGAGCAAACGGG